rnacentral:lncRNA from 10 species
GUAAAGUUGGGACAACUCAAGGCGGGGGCUUCCACGUCAUAGGUAGAUAGGAGCCCAAAGUUUGCGUUCUUUUGAGUUUUUGCUCAGCCUUUCAGUGAAUAUACAAUAUAUAUGUGAGAGUGGGAUAGGGGAAUAGUCACUUAUGUCUUAGUCUGGCUCAGUGAAUCUGCAUUCUCCAUCAACAAAAGGGCAGAGGAAGCAAUCAGAUGUGCAUUUGCCUCAGCUUGGAGAAACAGGCCUAGCACAGCAGAGAUGCUCAAGACAUAUUUGUUGAAGAAAUGAAUGAAUGAAUGAAUGGAUGCAGAUUCACUUACGCAGCAAUCCCCUGUCAGAUCUCAUGGACUUUUUCAUAAAGCUUACGUUUUAUAUUUUACAAUUUGUAUUGAAGCAUAAUGUGCAGAGUGAAAAGCACCAAUCUUGGGAGUUCAGCCAGACCUGCCUUGGAGAACCUUUCCCUCCACGUCUUCUGUCUGUGUUUUAGAGAACUGGAAAAUAGGCCACUUUAACAUGGUCUCUCCUACAAAGAGGUAAGAAGACCCAGCAGAAGGGCAGAAGAACUGGGAGUCUGGCCAGACCUCUGGAUGAAUGUCAGGGUUGUUGUUAUACCCAGGACUGUUGUCACCCUCUUGUCUCUGGACAUAGUGACAAGGGACAAGGCAAAGAGAGAGGGCCUGUGUUCUUGUGGACAUGUGGUUGGCAAGGUUCUGGCCAGAGUCGGAAGGGCCAGGACCCCACGUUCCUUCCUCCUAUGUUUGUAUCCCAUUCAAACCAAGAUUAAAAUUCUAAGCCCUCCAGCCAACUGAAUGGACGCCUCCUCUCAGCCCAAGGCAUUCUAGUGUUAACCUCAAACACUGGUUCAGGCCAUGAUGGGACGUGGGGAUCAGGAAUACCUCAUGAUAUCCUCCUCCCAUUGGAAUUCAGGCACAGCUGGCCAGCAUUAACAUUAAAACAGAG